UAUUAUUUUUAAUGUUAAUUAAUUUAUAACUUAAGUAGUAUUAGAUAUUUGGUUCUUGAAACUUAAAGAAUUUGGCGGUAUUUUAGUCUUUUUAGAGGAAUCUGUUUUUUAAUUGAUAAUCCGCAUUGAACCUUACUUGUUUUUUUUUUGUAUAUCGUCGUUGUUAAAUUUUUUUUAAAGAAUUUUAAUUUUUUAAAUAUUUUAUUUAUAUAAUAUUUCAGGUCAUGGUGCAGUUUAUAAAUAAGUUAAAAUGGAUUACAUUAUUAUUUUAUAUUUGGAUUUAAUUUUGUAAUAUAUUUAUAUGAAAGUGGAUUUAAUAGUAAUAUUUUGUAGAUUGUAAAUUUGAAAUUAGCUCUAUAAUAUGUACAUAUCGCCCGUCACUCUCGUUAAUUUUAAAAUGAG
rnacentral:rRNA from 1 species